rnacentral:lncRNA from 1 species
CUUCUUUUUAUAGGAGAAUUUAUUUUAUACAGAAGACAUCGUUUCCUAUUAAUUUAGAAGACUUGAAGAGAUAAAAGAUAUAAAAUAAUGCUCAAGAUAGAAGUACCUUUCUAUGUAGGAAUAUUUAAGAGGUAUGCCAUUCAUUACUUAUUUUGAUGAGGUUUUUAUUUCGUCUCUUGGACCCAACGUUCCUUAAAUUUCAUGGAAAAGAUUGGUAUCUCUAUGACGAUAGAUAAAUCUUCAGUUUUGUCAUAGUUGGUCAGGAUCAUUUAUGCCAUUGACUUGACCUCUCCAACAUCACAUACAAUUCCUUAAAAUAUCACUGGUUUUCAAGUGAUUAUUUAUAGUUCUUCUUUUUGCUUUUAGGAUAUGGAGAAAGGAAACUUCAAGAUAAUCAGGAUGAUCAUAAGGAGUUAUGAAGAUCAAAGUAUGGGUUAUGGCUGAUUGUUUGGUUGGUUGAUGGUUGGGGUUUUUUCUUCCUUCCUUCCUCCCUCCUUUCCUUUCACUCUAUCCUCUUUGAGAUUCGUACGAACUUAGUAAAAAAAAAAAAAAAUACUGAAGUUUUGCGUUUUAUUUAUUGAUUUAAUUUGGAAUCCGAUUGUGGCUGUUAUUUUGUAUUCAAAAUAUAUCGUCGUGUUGAACGAUGCAGAUCCAGCUCCAGUUACGAUCUUUAAUAUCGUAGGCUUGGCGUUUUCAUUCUGCUAAAUUAAUGAUUGCAGUGCUCAGCUAUGUCCCGUUGUUUCCUUAUAUAUCAUGGGAUCGGGAUACGCAGUCUGCGAACAGCGCUUCCUUCUCGUUUUUUUUCUUCUUCUUCUUCUUCAAUAAGAUGGAACUUGCUUUAUUUGUUGUAUGUGGUGGGAAUAUAUAUAUAUAUAUGUACAUACACCCCGUGAAUUGAAAAUAUGAGCUACGUGCGGAUUUGAAAAGAGUCUGAUGUUAGGAAGUUAAUUAAGGCUACAAAGAUGAAAGAGAAAAGAAUUCGGAAGGCAUUUAGAGAGGUCUGUCUCAAGGAAAAAAUAAAGUUACAAGCAAGGAGCUAGAAUUGAAGUCAAAUGGUGGAAGAGGAAUCUGAGAAGGGAAUAAAUAAAAGAGGCCGGUCUUACAUAUCACUAGGAACUUAAAUAAGAUAGGAUGAAGCUUGCUCCUCGAGAUGCAUAACGGGCAAGGAUUACAUACAAAAAUGGCUCGAAAAAUAAAAGUGAAGAAGCAUGCAAGGAUUUUUCUUAUAUAUUCCUCUUCUACUCAGG